rnacentral:lncRNA from 1 species
CUAGCAUGACAUUGUGUGGCAGAAAAUUCCUCGCACAUAAAUCAUGGUAAAUGUUUAGCUAUGGACCUGAGCCUAUAUGGCUAAUUGGCUAUAUAGCAUGUGGAACCAAUGAGGCAAUGACUGAAAAAGCAUGGUAUGCCAAUGAUGAUGCAAUGGUGGUGGUAAUGGUUUGGAUCACUCGACUGUAAAAGAUUUUUUUUCGCAUGGUUACUUGUGGACUCUUACUUUGUGUUUGCAUUGAGAUCUUUUGUGCAUGUAUUUAAUUUCUUUGAGGCUAACGCCAGUCGAAAAUUUGGUAAUAUACCCUCGACUAUUUUUUUUUUCAAUUGGAGAUUCAUGAAUCAUGACACAAGGACUAAAAACAUUAAACCAGUUAGAUGCGGCAAGUUGUGGCGGUAAACCAAAC